GCCUCCGUAGCUCAGUGGUUAGAGCACUGGUCUUGUAAACCAGGGGUCACGAGUUCAAUUCUCGUCGGGGGCU
rnacentral:tRNA from 1 species